AAUCAGCCUGGUGAGGUCCAGUAAUCAGUCUGGUGAGGUCCAGUAGAGUCAGCCUGGUGAGGUCCAGUAGAGUCAGUCUGGUGAGGUCCAGUAAUCAGUCUGGUGAGGUCCAGUAAUCAGUCUGGUGAGGUCCAGUAAUCAGUCUGGUGAGGUCCAGUAGUCAGUCUGGUGAGGUCCAGUAGAGUCAGUCUGGUGAGGUCCAGUAGUCAGUCUGGUGAGGUCCAGUAAUCAGUCUGGUGAGGUCCAGUAAUCAGUCUGGUGAGGUCCAGUAGUCAGUCUGGUGAGGUCCAGUAAUCAGUCUGGUGAGGUCCAGUAGAGUCAGUCUGGUGAGGUCCAGUAGAGUCAGUCUGGUGAGGUCCAGUAGAGUCAGUCUGGUGAGGUCCAGUAGUCAGUCUGGUGAGGUCCAGUAGAGUCAGUCUGGUGAGGUCCAGUAGAGUCAGUCUGGUGAGGUCCAGUAGUCAGUCUGGUGAGGUCCAGUAAUCAGUCUGGUGAGGUCCAGUAGAGUCAGUCUGGUGAGGUCCAGUAGAGUCAGUCUGGUGAGGUCCAGUAGAGUCAGUCUGGUGAGGUCCAGUAGAGUCAGUCUGGUGAGGUCCAGUAGAGUCAGUCUGGUGAGGUCCAGUAGUCAGUCUGGUGAGGUCCAGUAGAGUCAGUCUGGUGAGGUCCAGUAGAGUCAGUCUGGUGAGGUCCAGUAAUCAGUCUGGUGAGGUCCAGUAAUCAGUCUGGUGAGGUCCAGUAGUCAGUCUGGUGAGGUCCAGUAGAGUCAGUCUGGUGAGGUCCAGUAGAGUCAGUCUGGUGAGGUCCAGUAAUCAGUCUGGUGAGGUCCAGUAAUCAGUCUGGUGAGGUCCAGUAGAGUCAGUCUGGUGAGGUCCAGUAGAGUCAGUCUGGUGAGGUCCAGUAAUCAGUCUGGUGAGGUCCAGUAGAGUCAGUCUGGUGAGGUCCAGUAGAGUCAGUCUGGUGAGGUCCAGUAGAGUCAGUCUGGUGAGGUCCAGUAAUCAGUCUGGUGAGGUCCAGUAGAGUCAGUCUGGUGAGGUCCAGUAGUCAGUCUGGUGAGGUCCAGUAGAGUCAGUCUGGUGAGGUCCAGUAGAGUCAGUCUGGUGAGG